rnacentral:rRNA from 1 species
CCUACGGGAGGCAGCAGUAGGGAAUCUUUCACAAUGGGCGAAAGCCUGAUGGAGCAACGCCGCGUGCAGGAUGAAGGCCUUCGGGUUGUACACUGCUUUUAUAAGCGAGAAAUAUGAUGGUAACUUAUGAAUAAGGAUCGGCUAACUACGUGCCAGCAGCCGCGGUCAUACGUAGGAUCCGAGCAUUAUCCGGAGUGACUGGGUGUAAAGAGUUGCGUAGGCGGCAUAAUAAGUAGCUAGUUAAAUCUGGUGGCUCAACCAUUCAGACUAUUAGCUAAACUGUUAAGCUCGAGACCGUUAGGGGUAACUGGAAGUUCUAGUGUAGGAGUGAAAUCCGUAGAUAUUAGAAGGAACACCAAUAGCGUAGGCAGGUUGCUGGGACGGUUCUGACACUAAGGCACGAAAGCGUAGGGAGCAAACGGGAUUAGAUACCCUAGUAGUC